AUUGAACGCUGGCGGCAUGCCUUACACAUGCAAGUCGAACGGCAGCACGGGUGCUUGCACCUGGUGGCGAGUGGCGAACGGGUGAGUAAUACAUCGGAACGUACCUUAUCGUGGGGGAUAACGCAGCGAAAGCUGUGCUAAUACCGCAUACGCCCUGAGGGGGAAAGCGGGGGAUCGAAAGACCUCGCGCGAUUAGAGCGGCCGAUGCCUGAUUAGCUUGUUGGUGGGGUAAAAGCCCACCAAGGCGACGAUCAGUAGCUGGUCUGAGAGGACGAUCAGCCACACUGGGGCUGAGACACGGCCCAGACUCCUACGGGAGGCAGCAGAGGGGAAUUUUGGACAAUGGGGGCAACCCUGAUCCAGCAAUGCCGCGUGAGUGAAGAAGGCCUUCGGGUUGUAAAGCUCUUUUGUCAGGGAAGAAACACCGGCUCUAACACAGUCCGGGAAUGACGGUACCUGAAGAAUAAGCACCGGCUAACUACGUGCCAGCAGCCGCAGUAA
rnacentral:rRNA from 1 species